ACAAGGACAGAAGACACUUUUAUGCAGCGUUCUUUCUACUCCUAUAUCGCAUCCACUUACACGAUAAUUUAAGAUUAUAUGACUCGCGUACUCUAACUCUUUGUAUAUCUAUGGUUAUAAUAGACAUUUAUUGCAGUCUCACAGUUGUUCGAAAUUUUUAGUUUUACAACAUGUCUAAGAAUCAUCGAAAUGGAAAGCAGACUGGUCUUCUUCGUCCAUUGCUUGUUCUGGAUUUAUGUUACAUGUUGAUGGUUAAUGGUUCUGAUUGGAUGUAUGAGAUGUCCAUUCAUUGGGGUAUAGCAGGUGCUGGAAAAAUAUCACAUGAUUUUGUAACAUGCUUACGAACAUUACCAGAAUCCGAACAUGUAGUUCUUGCAGUAGCGGCACGUGAACUAUCAAGGGCACAGAACUUUUCUAGCUUACAUAAAAUUAAAAAGGCGUUCGACAAUUAUGUAGAGCUAGCGGAAGACAAGAAUAUUGAUGUCGUAUAUAUUGGAACGUUACAUCCUCAACACUUUGACAUUGCAAAGUUAAUGUUAAAUCAUGGGAAACAUGUUUUAUGUGAAAAACCUUUAACUAUGAAUUUGAAGCAAACAACAGAGUUGAUAAAUUUAGCAAAGCAGAAGAAGUUGUUCUUAAUGGAAGGUAUUUGGAGUAGAUGUUUUCCUAUAUAUGAAACUCUUAAAAAAGAAAUUGAAUCCGGAAGUAUUGGAGAUGUUCAUCAAGUUCUUGUAUCCUUCGGAUUUAGAAUGCCAGAUGUUCAACGACUCAACAUAAAAAGUCUAGGAGGCGGUACCAUAUUGGACUUGGGCGUGUAUGGAAUUCAAUUUGCUUGUUUAAUAUUUAAUAACGAAACACCUCAUACUGUACAAGCUGCUGGGUGCUUAAAUGAAGAGGGGGUUGAUCAAUCUGUAUCUACUACCUUUCUUUACAAAGGAAACCGUACUGCAACCAUUAUUACUCACUGUCUAGUUGAUUUACCGAAUGAAGCUUACAUCAUUGGUACAAAAGGAAUGAUAAAAGUUCCGAACUUUUGGUGUCCUACAACGGUAGAAUUGCCAAGUGGUAAAAUAAAUAUACCACUUCCUGAAACUGAAUAUAAGUUUAAUUUUAUCAACAGCGUUGGAUUUGUUUAUGAAGCUAAUGAAGUUCGCAAUUGCAUUUUAGCAGGUGUAACUGAAAGCUCUAAAGUACCGCACAAUGUUUCUUUAUUAGUUGCACAAUUAGAGGACGAAAUUCGAAGACAAGUUGGAGUUACGUAUCUUGAAGAUUAAACCUUAUCAUAGACGAAAUAAUUUCAACGUAGUUAAAUGUUCUGAAUAAUGUGUAAUUACAUUAAUUCAUAUCAGAACUUUAGAGAAGCUUUCUUGUAUACACAUAUAUGUAUAUAUAAAAGCUGUAUGCCCUAUACAAAACAUAUAUACAACAUAACUACAAACAGUAUGGAACGUAAGAAAAUAUUGGUCACGACUAUCAUAGCUACAUUUUACGUCUUCAAAUCGAUGGAGAUCUAUCAAAAAAAUAUUCUGCAAAAUGAUCCUUUACUGUGGAACUCAAAUUCGUAUCUUUUUUCAUUGGAUGUUUUUCAUUUUCUUGUCAUGUAGAGGCUAAAUCUGAACUAAUCAUGUGUCGCGACUUGAUCGUUCUUUAAAAUAUUUCUCUUAAAAUACUAUAAAAGUUCCAUUACUAUUUAAGCUAACGUUUUACAUUAUUUUAUUAAAAAAAAUAUAGAAUCCGAAGAAUAGUCAACAGCUGCAGAGAACCUUCAAAUUGAAUCGGUAAUUUUCUACCGGAAAGCACGUCUUCGGUUUCUUCGUUGAACAUUAUUUGCUAACAACUCUUCGAUAAAAAAAACACUUGCUGUCAAUUCUUCGGUCAGAACACACUUUAACUUGUUAUUCGGUCUUCGAUAAGAACACAACAAAAUCUCUUCAGUUGCAACACUCACAAACACUUAUAUUAUUCAAAAGCUGUUGGAAAUAAAUAGUGAUAUUUAAACUGUGAACUCAGUAUCAAAGUUAUUCAAACUACCCCUAUUAUCUUAACCAAUAUAGGGGAUCGGCUGAUUCGUGGCGUCGAUUAUCGUAUCGAGACGGGAACUUACGACUCUGACGCGUUAUACUGCGAACGCGAAUAUGGUCAAACACUUACGUUCGUCAAGUUGCUGCAAAAAUUGUAAAUUCUCAUAUGGAGUUAUUCUAAAUUUAUAUCGGAACACUGAAAAAUGCUUUCGUAUACAUAUUGGCUAUAAAUAAUAAGUAUACAUUUUUGCAUCAACUGAUUUUAUUGAAAUUUUCAGUAUGUAUGUAUUCAUCUCACGUGUUGUAUUCGUUAUUGUACUUUGUAAAUAAUAAAGCGUUGUGAACUAAAUUAA